rnacentral:piRNA from 1 species
UUAGAGGCCAGGUGUGAGGUUGAUACG